AUGGGAAAUAAGCAAGAGGAACUCCAACUCUUAGCACAGCACCACACAUACGAUGUCAUAGGCAUCACUGAAACCUGGUGGGAUGACUCCCAUCACUGGAAUGUAGCCAUUGAGGGCUAUAACCUCUUUCACAGAAAUAGAACAAAAGGGAGAGGAGGGGGAGUAGCUUUAUAUGUCAAAAACAGUUACGUUGCAGAAGAAAUGCAAGACUGUAAUCCGGGAAACCAGCUAGAAAGCAUCUGGAUAAGAAUCAAGGGAACCGGGACUCAAAAAGAUCUUGUCGUGGGUGUCUACUACAGACCUCCGAGUCAGGAUGAAGGACUUGAUGAAGCCUUCUGUCAACAGCUGACCAAACAGGCACAAAGAAGAGAUAUAGUAGUCAUGGGCGAUUUCAAUUAUUCCGAUAUCUGCUGGAAAACAAACUCGGCCAAGAGCACAAAGUCCAACAAAUUCCUCACUUGCCUUGCAGACAAUUUUAUGGUCCAGAGGGUAGAGGAGGCAACAAGGGGAUCAGCAACUCUUGAUCUAAUCUUAACAAAUGUGGAAGACCUGAUCAAUACAGUAGAAGUCGUCGGAUCCUUAGGGGCAAGUGACCAUGUGCUCCUGGAGUUUGCAAUACAAAGGAAUGCUGAAACUAAGACCAGUCAAACACGCAUUCUCGACUUUAAGAGAGCUGACUUCCAAAAAAUGAAGGAAUUACUGAGCAGCAUUCCAUGGACGCCAAUAUUAAAAGACAAGGGAGUUAACGAUGGAUGGGAGUUUUUUAAAAGUGAAAUAUUCAAGGCGCAAAUGCAAACAGUGCCAACAAAGAAGAAAAAUAAGACAAGUGCAAAGAAGCCAGAAUGGAUGUCCAAAGAACUUCUAACUGAGCUAAAGCUCAAAAGUGUCAUGCACAAGAAGUGGAAAAGGGGAGAAAUCACCAAAGAAGAAUUCAAACGUAUAGCCAACACCUGUAGGGAAAAGGUUCGCAAGGCUAAAGCACAAAAUGAGCUCAGGCUUGCCAGGGACAUAAAAAACAACAAAAAAGGCUUUUUUGCUUACGUUGGUAGAAAAAGGAAAAAAAAGGAGGCGAUAGGGCCAUUGCAAGGAGAAGAUGGGGUGAUGGCGACAGGGGACAGGGAAAAGGCAGAACUACUUAAUGCCUUCUUUGCCUCGGUCUUCUCACAAAAAGAAAGCCAUCUUCAACCUCAGCAACACGGAAUGGACGAAGGAUUGGGGGAAAUCCAACCCCAAAUAGGGAAACAAGUUGUCCAGGAACACUUGGCCUCUCUAAACGAAUUCAAGUCCCCAGGGCCAGAUCAGCUACACCCAAGAGUACUGAAGGAACUAGCGGAAGUUAUUUCAGAACCACUGGCAAUUAUCUUCGAGAGUUCUUGGAGAACGGGAGAAGUCCCAGAAGAUUGGAGAAGGGCGAAUGUGGUCCCUAUCUUCAAGAAGGGAAAAAAGAACGACCCAAACAAUUACCGUCCGGUCAGCCUCACAUCAAUACCAGGCAAAAUUCUGGAAAAGAUCAUUAAGGAAGUGGUCUGCAAACACUUAGAAACAAAUGCGGUCAUUGCUAAUAGUCAACACGGAUUUACCAAAAACAAGUCAUGCCAGACUAAUCUGAUCUCUUUUUUCGAUAGAGUUACGAGUUGGGUCGAUACAGGGAAUGCUGUGGAUGUAGCGUUCCCGGGAUUUCAGUAA
rnacentral:lncRNA from 1 species